GACGAACGCUGGCGGCGUGCUUAACACAUGCAAGUCGAACGGAAAGGCCCUGCUUUUGUGGGGUGCUCGAGUGGCGAACGGGUGAGUAACACGUGAGUAACCUGCCCUUGACUUUGUGAUAACUUCAGGAAACUUGGGCUAAUACCGGAUAGGAGCUCCUGCUGCAUGGUGGGGGUUGGAAAGUUUCGGCGGUUGGGGAUGGACUCGCGGCUUAUCAGCUUGUUGGGGGGGUAGUGGCUUACCAAGGCUUUGACGGGUGGCCGGCCUGAGAGGGUGACCGGCCAAAUUGGGACUGAGAUAAGGCACAGACUCCUACGGGAGGCAGGAGUGGGGAAUAUUGCACAAGGGGAUGAAGCCUGAUGCAGCAACGCCGCGUGCGGGAAGAGGGCAAGCGGGUUGGAAACCGAUUUCGCCUGUGACGAAGCGUGAGUGACGGUAAUGGGUAAAGAAGCACCGGCUAACUACGUG
rnacentral:rRNA from 1 species